GAUGAACGCUAGCGGCAGGCCUAACACAUGCAAGUCGAGGGGUAACAGGAAAGCUUGCUUUUGCUGACGACCGGCGCACGGGUGCGUAACGCGUAUGCAACCUACCUCAUACAGGAGAAUAGCCCUUGGAAACGAGGAUUAAUACUCCAUGGUAUCAUUUUUUCGCAUGUUAAAAUGAUUAAAGAAUUUCGGUAUGAGAUGGGCAUGCGUCCCAUUAGCUAGUUGGUGAGGUAACGGCUCACCAAGGCGACGAUGGGUAGGGGGCCUGAGAGGGUGAUCCCCCACACUGGUACUGAGACACGGACCAGACUCCUACGGGAGGCAGCAGUGAGGAAUAUUGGUCAAUGGAGGCAACUCUGAACCAGCCAUGCCGCGUGAAGGAUGACGGCCCUAUGGGUUGUAAACUUCUUUUAUAUGGGAAGAAACUUAUCUACGUGUAGAUAACUGACGGUACCAUACGAAUAAGGAUCGGCUAACUCCGUG
rnacentral:rRNA from 1 species